rfam:Brassica napus, WGS project CCCW01000000 data, contig: 7118
AGGAUGAUAUUGAGCCAAAGAUGACUUGCCGAUUUUACCGAUGGAUUAAUCUAAACUGAUAUUGGUAGUCGGCAAGUAGACUUUGGCUCUGUUUCCUUCUCU